rnacentral:piRNA from 1 species
UGGCUUGGUGUCUCGUACAGUCAUGC